AGCGAACGCUGGCGGCAGGCUUAACACAUGCAAGUCGAGCGGGCACUUUCGGGUGUCAGCGGCGGCCGGGUGAGUAACGCGUGGGAACGUGCCCUCUGGUUCGGAAUAACUCAGGGAAACUUGAGCUAAUACCGGAUACGCCCUCUUGGGGAAAGGCUAGGUGCCGGGGGAUCGGCUCGCGUCUGUUUAGCUUGUUGGUGGGGUAGUGGCUCACCAAGGCGACGAUGGGUAGAUGGACUGAGAGGGUGAUUGGCCACACUGUGCCUGAGAUAGGGCCCAGACCCCGACGGGAGGGAGCAGUGGGGAAGGGUGAAUUAGGGGAGGAGGCCUGAUGCAGAAACGCCGAGUGCGGGAGGAUGGCAAUGGGGUUGGGAUUGGAAAGCGCUUUUGACGAAGAGUGAGUGACGGGAACGGGUAAAGAAGCACCGGCUAAAUUCGUG
rnacentral:rRNA from 1 species